rnacentral:rRNA from 1 species
GAUGAACGCUGGCGGCGUGCCUAAUACAUGCAAGUCGAGCGAACAGACGAGGAGCUUGCUCCUCUGACGUUAGCGGCGGACGGGUGAGUACCAGUGGUAAACCUACCUUUAAUUUGGGGUAAAUUUCGGGAAAUCGGGCCUAAAACCGGUAAAAUUUUUUGAUCCCUUGGGUUAAUUGGAAAAGUCCGGUUUGUUGGUAAUUACUGGAGGAUUCGCGCCGUAUUAGCUAGUUGGUAAGGUAACGGCUUUUCAAGGCAACGAUGCGUAGCCGACCUGAGAGGGUGAUCGGCCACACGGGAACCGAGACACGGUCCAGACUCCUACGGGAGGCAGCAGUAGGGAAUCUUCCGCAAUGGGCGAAAGCCUGACGGAGCAACGCCGCGUGAGUGAUGAAGGUCUUCGGAUCGUAAAACUCUGUUAUUAGGGAAGAACAAAUGUGUAAGUAACUAUGCACGUCUUGACGGUACCUAAUCAGAAAGCCACGGCUAACUACGUG